CAGUAGCCACGGUAAUACGAAGGGUGCAAGCGUUAAUCGGAAUUACUGGGCGUAAAGCGUGCGUAGGCGGUGAGUUAAGUCUGCUGUGAAAUCCUCGGGCUCAACCUGGGAAUGGCAGUGGAUACUGGCUCGCUAGAGUGUGUCAGAGGAUGGUGGAAUUCCCGGUGUAGCGGUGAAAUGCGUAGAGAUCGGGAGGAACAUCAGUGGCGAAGGCGACUAUCUGGGUCAACACUGACGCUGAGGCACGAAAGCGUGGGGAGCAAACAGGAUUAGAUACCCCUGUAGUCCCUGUCUCUUAUAU
rnacentral:rRNA from 1 species